AUCAUCUUCAUCUCUGAGUAACUGGUCUAACUCAGGCCACAAUAACUCUCUCCAAGCAGUAAAAUCAUCUUCAAUGCAUUGAUCAUCAUCACCAAGUCCAACAGGAAUGAGGCGUUUUGCGCCUUGUUCACUAAGUUGUUCAUCAAGCACCUUCGCUAUCUUAUUAAAAUGUUCAUAUUGACGGUUACCCAAGCCAAAAACACCAUAGGUGAGCUGUUGAAGCCAAACUCCCCUUUCACUUUCCUCAGUAAACCACUUAUAAAAUCUUGCAGCAUUAUCAGUUGGCUCUCCAUCUCCGUAAGUGGCAACCAUGAAAAAUGCCAGUGUCUCCUUCUUCAAUUUUUCUUCAUAUUGAUCAUCAUCCAUAGCAUAAUCAUCCAGGUCAACAACUUUAACAGCUGCUUUCUCAUAUCUUGCCUUGAUCUCCUCAGCUAAGGCCUUAGCAAAGCCCUCAGCUGUUCCGGUCUGAGUCCCAUAAAAGACAGUAACCUUAGAUUUACCCGCAAGAGCCUCAGCCUCAUCAUCCUCGUCCUUCACCGCAAGCGACUUAGGAAGCACCACAGGUUUCAGCUCUCUGCUCCGAUCCGACGAUCUCUUCCACGAUAAGACCAACAACCCUAAGAUAACAGCAAACGACGUCGUUAUCAUCAGAAGCACGGAGUCAGUCACAGAACUUCCGAGCGAGACGCCAAGCACCGACUCAACGAAGCUAACCAAUUCCGACCCUGAACUCAUCUCGAUCUAAAAUCCAAAUCCAAAAAAUCCAACAAUACAAAACUAAAUAAUUUAAAGUCUUGAAAUAAUCGGCUUCGGCUUUGGUUCUUCUCUCCCUUGGUGACUUUGGAGAACGAGCCCUAAAAUAUGGGGGUGGGUAAGCAGAGAGAGAGAG
rnacentral:misc_RNA from 1 species